GCACAGGUAGGACACGGCUGGCUCUGCCCAGGCACGGCGGCGCUGCCCGCCCGGCUCCGGGCUCCGCUCCGGGCUGUGCUCAGGGCUGCGGGCUCUGCUCCGGGCUCAGGGCUGUGCUCCGGGCUCCGGGCUGUGCUCCGGGCUGUGCUCCGGGCUCAGGGCUGUGCUCCGGGCUCCGGGCUGUGCUCCGGGCUGUGCUCCGGGCUCAGGGCUGUGCUCCGGGCUCUGCUCCGGGCUCAGGGCUGUGCUCCGGGCUCUGCUCCGGGCUCCGGGCUCUGCUCCGGGCUCAGGGCUGUGCUCCGGGCUGUGCUCCGGGCUCAGGGCUGUGCUCCGGGCUCUGCUCCGGGCUCAGGGCUCUGCUCCGGGCUCUGCUCCGGGCUGCGGGCUCUGCUCCGGGCUGCGGGCUCUGCUCCGGGCUGUGCUCCGGGCUCCGGGCUGUGCUCCGGGCUCAGGGCUGUGCUCCGGGCUCUGCUCCGGGCUCAGGGCUCUGCUCCGGGCUGUGCUCCGGGCUGUGCUCCGGGCUCAGGGCUCUGCUCCGGGCUGUGCUCCGGGCUGUGCGCAGGGCUGCGGGCUCUGCUCCGGGCUCCGCUCCGGGCUGUGCUCAGGGCUGCGGGCUCUGCUCCGGGCUCAGGGCUGUGCUCCGGGCUCAGGGCUCUGCUCCGGGCUCUGCUCAGGGCUGCGGGCUCCGCUCCGGGCUGUGCUCCGGGCUCAGGGCUGUGCUCCGGGCUCAGGGCUGUGCUCCGGGCUGUGCUCAGGGCUCAAGGCUGUGCUCCGGGCUCAAGGCUCUGCUCCGGGCUGUGCUCAGGGCUCAAGGCUCUGCUCCGGGCUGUGCUCCGGGCUGUGCUCCGGGCUCAGGGCUGUGCUCCGGGCUCUGCUCCGGGCUCAGGGCUGUGCUCCGGGCUGUGCUCAGGGAUGCGGGCUGUGCUCCGGGCUGUGCUCAGGGCUGCGGGCUCUGCUCCGGGCUCAAGGCUCUGCUCCGGGCUCCAGGCUCCGGGCUGUGCUCCGGGCUCCGCUGUGCACGCCGCGGGGCUGCUCCAUUCUCUAGUGCCCGGUCAGACUCCCGAGGGCCCGGCUGGGGCAGGGCUGCAGCGGGGCGGCCCCGGGAGCUGAGGGCGGCGGUGCCUGUGAGGCGGCACAGCGGUGCCUGAGGGGCGCCCGC
rnacentral:lncRNA from 1 species